rnacentral:misc_RNA from 1 species
UAAGAGUUUAGCUAAUCAGUAAUCAAUCAGUUUGCAUUUACAUACACGAUGGGGGUAGCUUGAAUAAACUAGCUGCAGUUAGUGGAAUAAGAUAUAUUUCACUUUCUGUUGGUUGGGAAUUGGGAUUGAUGGUGAUGAUGAGUGCUAUAUAAUGCUUUUAGUGACUAAUGAACAAGAUACGUAAGCAGCAAUAUGGCUCUUAUCUUCAAUAUUUCAUGUGCACUGUACAGGAAUAGUGAAAAACUUUCCUUUGCCUUGCAGUCAAUGAAGAAUCCAGGAAAACAACGAUUAAAGAUAAAAAAAUUUUUGGAAUUAUAGAUUUUCUCGAGGAUUUAUUUUGGAAUUUAUGAUCUUUUCUAGCCCUAAUAGGCUGAUAUUUCUGUUAAUUAUAAUCAGUUAGCUACUUUGGUAAUAAAUGAAGGCUGGAAGUGCGGCUUGCCAACUUGUCUGAGAAUGUGAUGUAAUAAUAAUUCAGUGAUACUGUUAAUAUUUUCUUUUGGUUUCUUGACUUAGGGCCUCUGUGAUCAAUUUAAUCUUUGCAUUUGUUGAUCUUAGCAUUUCUCGUUUUGUGCAAGUGUUCCAUCUUUUUAUUUCAAGGUUUUGUUGCUUAGUUAGCUGCAUUCUGCUUUAGGGUGGAAAGAUACGUGCUAAACUU